rnacentral:rRNA from 1 species
GACGAACGCUGGCGGCGUGCUUAACACAUGCAAGUCGAACGGAAAGGCCCCUUUGGGGGUACUCGAGUGGCGAACGGGUGAGUAACACGUGAGUAACCUGCCCUUGACUUCGGGAUAACUUCAGGAAACUGGGGCUAAUACCGGAUAGGAAUCCUUGCUGCAUGGUGGGGGUUGGAAAGCUUCGGCGGUUUUGGAUGGACUCGCGGCUUAUCAGCUUGUUGGUGGGGUAGUGGCUUACCAAGGCUUUGACGGGUAGCCGGCCUGAGAGGGCGACCGGCCACAUUGGGACUGAGAUACGGCCCAGACUCCUACGGGAGGCAGCAGUGGGGAAUAUUGCCCAAUGGGCGGAAGCCUGAUGCAGCAACGCCGCGUGCGGGAUGACGGCCUUCGGGUUGUAAACCGCUUUCAGCAGGGGCGAAGCUUGUGGUGACGGUACCUGCAGAAGAAGCACCGGCUAACUACGUG